ACUUGUGCUCUUCCAAUCGAACACAUUUUCUCUUAGAGAUUUUCAUUUUAGUGUAUCUUUAAAAAAAAUCUUGUGUUAAGUUGCCUCCGUCUUUUUUCUUGGGUAAGGGUAACCCAGGAAUGGCCCUUUUCUGUCUAUGAUGUUGCUGUUCACAGCUUUUCUUGAUAGGCCUAGUACAAUCUUGGGAACAGGGUUGCUGUAUGCUGAAGGUUGGACAGUAGCUCUUAGUCUUGCCUAUCUUAGGUAGUUAUGCUGUGCAUUUUUUUAUUGGUGUGCCACGCUUGAUUUGUUCCUGAUAUCUUUGGAGCUUUUCUGAGAAAUGGAGCAGUAAUGCAGCAUCAACUUAUUAAAAUAUAUUUUAAGCCUUUAAAAAAAAGAAAAAAAAAAGAAUUCCAAGCAGGCUCCGUGCUGUCAGUGCAGAGC